GAUGAACGCUAGCGGGAGGCCUAACACAUGCAAGCCGAGCGGUAUUGUUUCUUCGGAAAUGAGAGAGCGGCGUACGGGUGCGGAACACGUGUGCAACCUGCCUUUAUCUGGGGGAUAGCCUUUCGAAAGGAAGAUUAAUACUCCAUAACAUAUUGAUUGGCAUCAAUUGAUAUUGAAAGCUCCGGCGGAUAGAGAUGGGCACGCGCAAGAUUAGCUAGUUGGUGAGGUAACGGCUCACCAAGGCGAUGAUCUUUAGGGGGCCUGAGAGGGUGAUCCCCCACACUGGUACUGAGACACGGACCAGACUCCUACGGGAGGCAGCAGUGAGGAAUAUUGGUCAAUGGGUGCAAGCCUGACCAGCCAUCCCGCGUGAAGGACGACUGCCCUAUGGGUUGUAAACUUCUUUUGUAUAGGGAUAAACCUACCCUCGUGAGGGUAGCUGAAGGUACUAUACGAAUAAGCACCGGCUAACUCCGUGCCAGCCGCCGCUGUAA
rnacentral:rRNA from 1 species